CAUGUAAAUAAGCUAGCUCCACAAGUUCCCAAGCGCUUGCUCCCCUGGUAGUACACACACCAGCUAGCUCGAUAGCCCAAACAGCUCUGCCUUUCCAUCCUUCUCCAGCUAGAGCUUUCUAGGGUUUACACAGAAGCUAGCAGUUCUGACCCGUCGCCGUCCGGUCUCCUUCGAUCUAUCCGUCGUCCUGGUCGGCUGAAUUCCGGCGCUUCACGGUGGCGUUCGAGCUUCGCUUGACGCAAGGACUACACCCCGUUUGGUUCAGCUUGCUGCAGGGCCCCCGGGGGGGGGGGGGGGGGGGCUGGUUGAACUCAUCGAUCUGAGGGAGGGAGUCUACAAUCUUGCUCAUGCUAGCUUGUAUGAUCAUGAGCGGAGGCCCAAGAUGAUAAGCGGCAACCACACAAAUGAGGAGCAGCUGGGCAGGUGCGCGAAGGCCGAGAUGCCGCCCGCAGGCGCGGGGGCCGCCAAGGGCGCCGCGGCGAACUCGCGGCACUGGCCGCCGUCCACGGAGUCGAGGAUCGUGCGCGUCUCGCGGGUGUUCGGCGGCAAGGACCGGCACAGCAAGGUGAGGACCGUCAAGGGGCUGCGCGACCGGCGCGUGCGGCUGUCCGUGCAGACGGCGAUCCAGCUCUACGACCUCCAGGACCGGCUGGGGCUGAGCCAGCCGAGCAAAGUGGUGGACUGGCUGCUCGACGCCGCGCAGCACGAGAUCGACAAGCUGCCGCCGCUCCAGUUCGCGAUGCAAGCGCAGGACCUCGUCGCCCACCUGCCCUCCUCCAUGUUGACGCCGUUCGCGAACGGCGCCGCCGCCGCCACGAACACGGCGACGGCCGUGUCGUCCGCGCUGGACUGCGACAAGAGCAGCAUCAAAGGGUUCGUGGGCCUGAACAAUUCCGUCGGCCUCGUCAAUGGCGCCAUGCCGCUGGCUCACGGUAUGUACUACACGGGCGGUGAAUCUUGGACGAGUGGCCAUGUCCAUGAUCAGGUGAACCACGGCACUUCGCCUCAAACGGUGGCUCACCAUCACCACUCGCCGUUCUCAUCGCUGCUGUCUCUGGCUCCGGGGCCUCAGCUCGUCUUCUACUCACCGGAAGGUGGCGGCUUUGCCAUGAAAGAAGCCGCCGAUCAGUUCCCUGUAGAUAACCUCGACCAUUCGCAAGGCCAGCUCUCACUGAGCUCAGCAAGAAGCUUCCUUCAUUCGGGAAACCAGGGAUGAUGCUUAGAUCAUCGAUCGAUCUCUGCUCCAAGAAGAUGAAGGUAGCAGCCCAAGGAUAAAUGCCUUUUGCCGUGACCACCAGCACUGUCAACGCAUGCACUGUAAAUCUAUUCCCUCUCCUGGUCUGCAUGAAGCCGCAUGCGUCAUCCACGUACGCGGAAAAUGUAUGUAGCAGCAAGAAUGUGGCACGGAAAACGCAUUCUGUAUGUGCCUGGGCGGGACCAAUCUACAGCUACUGGAAAAGAUCAACCGCAUGCAUGCAAUGCAUGAGCUAAAGAUCGAUGACAUCUGAAUUCUGACGUGAACAGCUGGUUACAUAUGUACCACAGGCGACCAAGGCUUCUUUCAGCUAAAUUACCGCUUCUUUUUACUAGAUAUCCAGCAGUGUACAGUACAAACGUUUCACUCGUGCUAGUACUAAUAAUAAGGUCAAAUCAACCCAGCAGCUGCGCUUCACAGCUUUGCAAAAGAAAACACAACACCUAGCCAG